rnacentral:rRNA from 1 species
AUUGAACGCUGGCGGAAUGCUUUACACAUGCAAGUCGAACGGCAGCACGGACUUCGGUCUGGUGGCGAGUGGCGAACGGGUGAGUAACGUAUCGGAACGUGCCCAGUCGUGGGGGAUAACGUAGUGAAAAUUACGCUAAUACCGCAUACGAUCUAUGGAUUAAAGCGGGGGAUCGCAAGACCUCGCGCGAUUGGAGCGGCCGAUAUCAGAUUAGGUAGUUGGUGGGGUAAAGGCCCACAAAGCCAACGAUCUGUAGCUGGUCUGAGAGGACGACCAGCCACACUGGAACUGAGACACGGUCCAGACUCCUACGGGAGGCAGCAGUGGGGAAUUUUGGACAAUGGGCGAAAGCCUGAUCCAGCCAUUCCGCGUGCAGGAUGAAGGCCCUCGGGUUGUAAACUGCUUUUGUACAGAACGAAAAGGUUUCUACUAAUACUAGGAGCUCAUGACGGUACUGUAAGAAUAAGCACCGGCUAACUACGUGCCAGCAGCCGCCGUAA